UUUUUGUUUCAGGGUGUUACGACCAGUCUAGGGGGGGCCAGGUCGCAACAUGAAGGAUCCAUCCUCCUCUGAUCUCAGCAACCGACAUGCACAAAAUUGAAUAGUUGAUAAUUAUUUAUUUUAAAAAGAUGUAUUUGAUAAAGAUGUUACCACUGGAGUACUUGGCUUCAGAGUGAGCUAUCGCCGAAAACAACAAACAAAAGGAAACUACCUAAAUAGUAACAGAAACUUACCUAAU